rnacentral:piRNA from 1 species
UGGGAACGAGAAUACACUCGUGGAGGCGUC